rnacentral:rRNA from 1 species
AUUUAGGAAACAGAUGCUAAUACCGGAUAAAAGCUACUUUCGCAUGAAAGAAGUUAAAGGCGGCGUAAGCUGUCGCUAAAGGAUGGACCUGCGAUGCAUUAGCUAGUUGGUAAGGUAACGGCUUACCAAGGCGAUGAUGCAUAGCCGAGUUGAGAGACUGAUCGGCCACAUUGGGACUGAGACACGGCCCAAACUCCUACGGGAGGCAGCAGCA